ACAGCAUGCGGUUUUCCCAGGUGGUCACCCUCCCAAGUACUGACCAGUCCCGAUGCUGCUUGUCUGCGGUGAUCAGACGAGAACCGGAGCUUUCAGCAUGGUAUGGCCGU